GCGUGGAUGGUUUAGUGGUAUAAUUGCCGCCUGCCACGCGGCAGACCCGGGUUCGAUUCCCGGUUCACGCA
rnacentral:tRNA from 1 species